GACGAACGCUGGCGGCGUGCUUAACACAUGCAAGUCGAACGGAAAGGCCCUGCUUUUGUGGGGUGCUCGAGUGGCGAACGGGUGAGUAACACGUGAGUAACCUGCCCUUGACUUUGGGAUAACUUCAGGAAACUGGGGCUAAUACCGGAUAGGAGCUCCUGCUGCAUGGUGGGGGUUGGAAAGUUUCGGCGGUUGGGGAUGGACUCGCGGCUUAUCAGCUUGUUGGUGGGGUAGUGGCUUACCAAGGCUUUGACGGGUAGCCGGCCUGAGAGGGUGACCGGCCACAUUGGGACUAAGAUACGGCCCAGACUCCUACGGGAGGCAGCAGUGGGGAAUAUUGCACAAUGGGCGGAAGCCUGAAGCAGCAACGCCGCGUGCGGGAUGACGGCCUUCGGGUUGUAAACCGCUUUCGCCUGUGACGAAGCGUGAGUGACGGUAAUGGGUAAAGAAGCACCGGCUAACUACGUG
rnacentral:rRNA from 1 species